AUUUGACCUCGGAUCAGGUAGGGAUACCCGCUGAACUUAAGCAUAUCAAUAAGCGGAGGAAAAGAAACCAACAGGGAUUGCCUCAGUAACGGCGAGUGAAGCGGCAACAGCUCAAAUUUGAAAUCUGGCUCCUUUGGGGUCCGAGUUGUAAUUUGUAGAGGGUGUUUCGGGCGCGGUGCCGGUUCAAGUCCCCUGGAACGGGGCGUCAUAGAGGGUGAGAAUCCCGUAUGUGACCGGAAGCCAAGCCUGGGUGAAACCCCUUCGACGAGUCGAGUUGUUUGGGAAUGCAGCUCUAAAUGGGUGGUAAAUUCCAUCUAAAGCUAAAUACCGGCCAGAGACCGAUAGCGCACAAGUAGAGUGAUCGAAAGAUGAAAAGCACUUUGGAAAGAGAGUUAAAAAGUACGUGAAAUUGUUGAAAGGGAAGCGCUUGCGACCAGACCUGCGCGGGGGCGAUCAACGGCCGUUCUCGGCCGUGCACUCGUCCCCGAUCAGGCCAGCAUCGGUUCGGGCGGUCGGACAAAGGCCUCGGGAAUGUAGCUCCCUCCGGGGAGUGUUAUAGCCCGAGGUGCAAUGCGGCCAGCCCGGACCGAGGACCGCGCUUCGGCAAGGAUGCUGGCGUAAUGGUCGUCAGCGACCCGUCUUGAAACACGGACCAAGGAGUCUAACAUCUGUGCGAGUGUUUGGGCGAAAAACCCAUACGCGCAAUGAAAGUGAACGUAGGUGGGAGCCCUUAAGGGUGCACCAUCGACCGAUCCAGAUCUUCUGGGAUGGAUUUGAGUACGAGCAUAGCUGUUGGGACCCGAAAGAAGGUGAACUAUGCUUGAAUAGGGUGAAGCCAGAGGAAACUCUGGUGGAGGCUCGCAGCGGUUCUGACGUGCAAAUCGAUCGUCAAAUUUGGGCAUAGGGGCGAAAGACCAAUCGAACUUUCUAGUAGCUGGUUUCUGCCGAAGUUUCCCUCAGGAUAGCAGUAACGUCUUCAGUUUUAUGAGGUAAAGCGAAUGAUUAGAGGACUGGGGGGAGCAAAUCCCUUCACCUAUUCUCAAACUUUAAAUAUGUAAGAAGU
rnacentral:rRNA from 1 species